CUGUAGAGCGUAUAUAUCUCAUUUGCUUCAUUAAACAAUUCUUCGGUGCUUUUUACUACAUCUUCUUUGACGUCAUCACUGCAAAUCACUAUUUGAUAUUGGUUUUUUAUGUUCACCCAAUUGCCUUCAAGGGUUUCGAGACGUGUGGUUACAUAAUUUUUGGUUCUCCGAGUGGGGCUCACAGUCUUUUUAAAAUUUUCAAAAUCUUUUGAAAUUUGCGUGCAGAUAAAUGACUGCUUAAAAUUGAUGGCGCUUUGUGAUGGGUUGCGAUUGGUGAUGGGCAGCGAUUGGCGAAGGGUAGCUGUUUGCGAUGGGUAGCGAUUUGAUUACUCUUCAGACGAUCGGCGAUGGAUUGCACGAAUUUCUUUAUUUUUAUAAAUUAUUUUAUCAAUGGAAACUUGUUUCAAUGUUGUUUGUAAUUUUAAAAGUUUAAAUAUAUAUUAUCAAACGACAAGAUGUCGGCACACACUC